GCUCAGGACGAACGCUGGCGGCGUGCUUAACACAUGCAAGUCAAGGCAGAGAGUACUUCGGGUAUGAUUAAACUGGCGAACGGGUGAGUAACGUGUGGGUAAUUUGCCUUCGAGCGGGGGAUAGGCCCGGGAAACCGGGAUUAAUACCGCAUAAAGUCAUAAUACGAUGGUGUUGUGAUGAAAGGUGGGGACCUUCGGGCCCGCCACUUGAAGAUAAGCCCGCAUCUGAUUAGUUAGUUGGUAGGGUAAUGGCCUACCAAGACCUCGAUCAGUAGCUGUUCUAAGAGGAAGAUCAGCCACAUUGGGACUGAGAUACGGCCCAGACUCCUACGGGAGGCAGCAGUGAGGAAUUUUGCGCAAUGGGGGAGACCCUGACGCAGCAACGCCGCGUGACCGAUUGAAGCUUUUAGGAGUGUAAAGGUCUGUCGUGAAGGAAGAAAAAGUCCGAGAAUAAUAAGUUCGGUAAUUGACGGUACUUCACAAGCAAGCUCCGGCUAACUUCGUGCCAGCAGCCGCGGUAAUACGAGGGGAGCAAGCGUUGUCCGAAAUAACUGGGCGUAAAGGGUACGUAGGCUUUUUUGUAUGUUUUCGGUGAAAUCCACAGGCUCAACUUGUGGCUUGCCGGAAAAACUGCAGAGAUUGAAUCCGGAAGGGGAAAGCGGAAUUCCUGGUGUAGCGGUGAAAUGCGUAGAUAUCAGGAGGAACACCAGUGGCGAAGGCGGCUUUCUGGUCCGGAAUUGACGCUGAUGUACUAAAGCGUGGGUAGCAAACAGGAUUAGAUACCCUGGUAGUCCACGCCCUAAACGAUGUAUACUUGAUGUCGGGAUGUUCGGUCGUCUCGGUGUCGUAGCUAACGUGUUAAGUAUACCGCCUGGGGACUACGGUCGCAAGACUGAAACUCAAAGGAAUUGACGGGGGCCCGCACCAGCGGUGGAACAUGUGGUUUAAUUCGAUGCAACGCGAAGAACCUUACCUGGGCUUGACAUAUGUAUGAAGUAUGUAAGAAAUUAUGUAUUCUGUCUGAUUUUUCAGACAGCAUAUAUACAGGUGAUGCAUGGCUGUCGUCAGCUCGUGUCGUGAGAUGUAGGGUUAAGUCCC
rnacentral:rRNA from 1 species